rnacentral:rRNA from 1 species
UACGUAGGUGGCAAGCGUUGUCCGGAUUUAUUGGGUUUAAAGGGUGCGUAGGCGGCCCCGUAAGUCAGUGCUGAAAUAUCCCGGCUUAACCGGGAGGGUGGCAUUGAUACUGCGAGGCUUGAGUAAAGUUGAGGUAGGCGGAAUUGACGGUGUAGCGGUGAAAUGCUUAGAUAUCGUCAAGAACACCGAUAGUGUAGACAGCUUACUAAGCUUUAACUGACGCUGAGGCACGGAAGUGUGGGGAUCAAACAGG